rnacentral:lncRNA from 1 species
CUGGGACAGGGCAGCAAAGCCUGGCCUUGGGGUUUGGGAGCCAGGGAGCCACUGCCUCUCAGCAGCCUCAUGAGAUGCUCAGCAAGGUAACCCUUCUUGGCCCUCCCUGAUCCACUCGUGGCUGAGCCUGGCCUGGGAAGUUACAUUUUCAUUUUUAUUUUAUUUUAUUUUAUUUUAUUUUAUUUUAUUUUAUUUUAUUUUAUUUUAUUUUAUUUUAUCUUAUCUUAUUUUAUUUUAUAUUUUACUUUGCAUGUACCUGUGAGGAGUGGACUCCUUCCUGGAAACUGGGACUCACUCCUUCCUACUGGGAUGGCUGGAGGCCUGCAGGAUAUCAGGCAGGACAUCCUUUAUCAGACAAACAGGAGCCUUUCUGAGAGUGUUGCUCCCAACACCACUGCCAAGUCUCAGGAGAGAAGGAAUCUCUUUCCAGCAGACUUUCGUGGGCUUUGGAAGAGCCCCCUGAUCUAUGGCAAAUGAGGAGAUGACUUGAAUGGAGCAGUCCCAAUCCAAAUAACACUCUUCUCCCAGGAGCCUCCUGAGAUUUAUAGGAUUUUACAUCCCUGGACACUAUUUGGGGUGGUUUAUGUGCCACAUUUUUUUACUGUUAUGCUGGCAAAACAACCAUAGAAUCUAGCUUGGGAAAACAAGGUGGGAGAUAAAUCCUCGUGGCGUGGGCUCUCCCAGCAAUAAAAUGGGCUACAGGUGGAGAAAUAGGCCCUUG